rnacentral:tRNA from 1 species
GCGGGCGUAGCUCAGCGGUAGAGCACCCGGCUUUUAACCGGAGUGUCGCAAGUUCAACCCUUGCCGCCCGCACCA